rnacentral:rRNA from 1 species
AUUGAACGCUGGCGGCAGGCCUAACACAUGCAAGUCGAGCGAGCGGCGGACGGGUGAGUAAUGUCUGGGAAAAUGCCUGAUGGAGGGGGAUAACAACUGGAAACGGUAGCUCAUACCGCAUACAAUAAGAUGUGCCCAGAUGGGAUUAGCUAGUGGGUGGGGUAACGGCUCACCUAGGCGACGAUCCCUAGCUGGUCUGAGAGGAUGACCAGCCACACUGGAACUGAGACACGGUCCAGACUCCUACGGGAGGCAGCAGUGGGGAAUAUUGCACAAUGGGCGCAAGCCUGAUACAGCCAUGCCGCGUGUGUGAAGAAGGCCUUCGGGUUGUAAAGCACUUUCAGCGGGGAGGCGUUACCCGCAGAAGAAGCACCGGCUAACUCCGUGCCAGCAGCCGCGGUAAUUC